GAUGAACGCUGGCGGCGUGCCUAAUACAUGCAAGUCGAGCGAACAGACGAGGAGCUUGCUCCUCUGACGUUAGCGGCGGACGGGUGAGUAACACGUGGAUAACCUACCUAUAAGACUGGGAUAACUUCGGGAAACCGGAGCUAAUACCGGAUAAUAUAUUGAACCGCAUGGUUCAAUAGUGAAAGACGGUUUUGCUGUUACUUAUAGAUGGAUCCGCGCCGCAUUAGCUAGUUGGUCAGGUAACGGCUUACCAAGGCAACGAUGCGUAGCCGACCUGAGAGGGUGAUCGGCCACACUGGAACUGAGACACGGUCCAGACUCCUACGGGAGGCAGCAGUAGGGAAUCUUCCGCAAUGGGCGAAAGCCUGACGGAGCAACGCCGCGUGAGUGAUGAAGGUCUUCGGAUCGGAAAACUCUGUUAUUAGGGAAGAACAAAUGUGUAAGUAACUAUGCACGUCUUGACGGUACCUAAUCAGAAAGCCACGGCUAACUACGUG
rnacentral:rRNA from 1 species